AUAAUACUCCAUAGAUUAGAGACACUGGAAUGUUCUUUAGUCGAAAGUUCUGGCGCCUUAGGAUGGAUCUGCGGUCGAUUAGGUUGUUGUUGGGGUAACGGCCCAACAAGCCUGUAAUCGAUACGGGUUGUGGGAGCAAGAGCCCGGAGAUGGAAUCUGAGACACGAUUCCAGGCCCUACGGGGCGCAGCAGGCGCGACAACUUUACAAUGCAGGAAACUGUGAUAAGGGAACUCCGAGUGCCCGUAUACGCGGGCUGUCCAGGUGUUUAAAAAUCAUCUGAAGAAAGGGCCGGGCAAGACCGGUGCCAGCCGCCGCGGUAAUACCGGCGGCUCGAGUGGUGGCCACUAUUAUUGGGCUUAAAGCGUCCGUAGCUGGACCGAUAAGUCUCUUGGGAAAUCCGCCGGCUCAACCGGCGGGCGUCUAAGGGAUACUGUUAGUCUAGGGACCGGGAGAGGUGAGAGGUACUCCGGGGGUAGGAGUGAAAUCCUGUAAUCCCCGGGGGACCACCGAUGGCGAAGGCAUCUCACCAGAACGGCUCCGACAGUGAGGGACGAAAGCUGGGGGAGCGAACCGGAUUAGAUACCCGGGUAGUCCCAUGCCGUAACUUAUGCGCGGUAGGUGU
rnacentral:rRNA from 1 species